rnacentral:rRNA from 2 species
ACGACUCUCGACAACGGAUAUCCCGGCUCUCGCAUCGAUGAAGAACGUAGCGAAAUGCGAUACUUGGUGUGAAUUGCAGAAUCCCGUGAACCAUCGAGUCUUUGAACGCAAGUUGCGCCCGAAGCCACUAGGCUAAGGGCACGUCUGCCUGGGUGUCACGC